rnacentral:rRNA from 1 species
UACGUAGGGGUGCGAGCGUUUGUCCGGAAUUAUUGGGCGUAAAGAGCUCGUAGGCGGCCUGUCGCGUCGGAUGUGAAAGCCCGGGGCUUAACCCCGGGUCUGCAUUCGAUACGGGCAGGCGUAGAGUGUGGUAGGGGAGAUCGGAAUUCCUGGUGUAGCGGUGAAAUGCGCAGAUAUCAGGAGGAACACCGGUGGCGAAGGCGGAUCUCUGGGCCAUUACUGACGCUGAGGAGCGAAAGCGUGGGGAGCGAACAGG